GAUGAAGAACGUAGCGAAAUGCGAUAAGUAGUGUGAAUUGCAGAAUUCAGUGAACCAUCGAAUCUUUGAACGCACAUUGCGCCCCAUGGUAUUCCGUGGGGCAUGCCUGUUCGAGCGUCAUUUACCCCCUCAAGCUCCGCUUGGUGUUGGGCGUCUGUCCCGCUUCGCGCGCGGACUCGCCCCAAAGGUAUUGGCAGCGGUCGUGCCAGCUUCUCGCGCAGCACAUUGCGCUUCUCGAGGCACCGGUGGGCCCGCGUCCAUCAAGCUCACCCCCCCAGUUUGACCUCGGAUCAGGUAGGGAUACCCGCUGAACUUAAGCAUAUCAAUAAGCGGAGGA
rnacentral:misc_RNA from 1 species